AAUAGAUACCCAGGUAGUCCACGCCCUAAACGAUGUCGACUAGGUGUUGGGGAAGGAGACUUCCUUAGUACCGCAGCUAACGCGUGAAGUCGACCGCCUGGGGAGUACGGUCGCAAGAUUAAAACUCAAAGGAAUUGACGGGGACCCGCACAAGCGGUGGAUGAUGUGGAUUAAUUCGAUGCAACGCGAAAAACCUUACCUACCCUUGACAUGUACGGAAGUCCGCUGAGAGGUGGAUGUGCCCGAAAGGGAGCCGUAACACAGGUGCUGCAUGGCUGUCGUCAGCUCGUGUCGUGAGAUGUUGGGUUAAGUCCCGCAACGAGCGCAACCCUUGCCAUUAGUUGCCACAUUCAGUUGGGCACUCUAAUGGGACUGCCGGUGACAAACCGGAGGAAGGUGGGGAUGACGUCAAGUCCUCAUGGCCCUUAUGGGUAGGGCCUCACACGUCAUACAAUGGCGCGUACAGAGGGUUGCCAACCCGCGAGGGGGAGCCAAUCCCAGAAAGCGCGUCGUAGUCCGGAUUGGAGUCUGCAACUCGACU
rnacentral:rRNA from 1 species